rnacentral:rRNA from 1 species
GUGAACGCUGGCGGUAGGCCUAACACCUGCAAGUCGAACGGCAGCACAGUAAGAGCUUGCUCUUCCGGGUGGCGAGUGGCGGACGGGUGAGGAAUACAUCGGAAUCUACUUUUUCGUGGGGGAUAACGUAGGGAAACUUACGCUAAUACCGCAUACGACCUACGGGUGAAAGCAGGGGAUCUUCGGACCUUGCGCGAUUGAAUGAGCCGAUGUCGGAUUAGCUAGUUGGCGGGGUAAAGGCCCACCAAGGCGACGAUCCGUAGCUGGUCUGAGAGGAUGAUCAGCCACACUGGAAAUGAGACACGGUCCAGACUCCUACGGGAGGCAGCAGUGGGGAAUAUUGGACAAUGGGCGCAAGCCUGAUCCAGCCAUACCGCGUGGGUGAAGAAGGCCUUCGGGUUGUAAAGCCCUUUUGUUGGGAAAGAAAAGCAGCAGGUUAAUACCCCGCUGUUCUGACGGUACCCAAAGAAUAAGCACCGGCUAACUUCGUG